GACGAACGCUGGCGGCGUGCUUAACACAUGCAAGUCGAACGGAAAGGCCCUGCUUUUGUGGGGUGCUCGAGUGGCGAACGGGUGAGUAACACGUGAGUAACCUGCCCUUGACUUUGGGAUAACUUCAGGAAACUGGGGCUAAUACCGGGUAGGAGCUCCUGCUGCAUGGUGGGGGUUGGAAAGUUUCGGCGGUUGGGGAUGGACUCGCGGCUUAUCAGCUUGUUGGUGGGGUAGUGGCUUACCAAGGCUUUGACGGGUAGCCGGCCUGAGAGGGUGACCGGCCACAUUGGGACUGAGGUACGGCCCAGACUCCUACGGGAGGCAGCAGUGGGGAAUAUUGCACAAUGGGCGGAAGCCUGAUGCAGCAACGCCGCGUGCGGGAUGACGGCCUUCGGGUUGUAAACCGCUUUCGCCUGUGACGAAGCGUGAGUGACGGUAAUGGGUAAAGAAGCACCGGCUAACUACGUG
rnacentral:rRNA from 1 species